rnacentral:rRNA from 1 species
UACUUCCUACGGGGCGCAGCAGUGAGGAAUAUUGGUCAAUGGGCGGGAGCCUGAACCAGCCAAGUCGCGUGAGGGAAGACGGUCCUAUGGAUUGUAACCCUCUUUAGGCGGGGAGCAAUGCCGGGCACGUGUGCCCGGAGGGAGAGUACCCGCAGAAUAAGCAUCGGCUAACUCCGUGCCAGCAGCCGCGGUAAUACGGAGGAUGCGAGCGUUAUCCGGAUUUAUUGGGUUUAAAGGGUGCGUAGGCGGAUUUUUAAGUCAGCGGUAAAAUGUCCGGGCUCAACUCGGUCCGGCCGUUGAAACUG